rnacentral:rRNA from 1 species
GAUGAACGCUGGCUACAGGCUUAACACAUGCAAGUCGAGGGGAAACGACGGGGAAGCUUGCUUCCCCGGGCGUCGACCGGCGCACGGGUGAGUAACGCGUAUCCAACCUGCCUCUGACUGAGGGAUAACCCGUCGAAAGUCGGCCUAAUACCUCAUGGCAUCGUCUGCGGGCAUCCAACGACGAUUAAAGAUUUCAUCGGUCAGAGAUGGGGAUGCGUCUGAUUAGCUUGUUGGCGGGGUAACGGCCCACCAAGGCGACGAUCAGUAGGGGUUCUGAGAGGAAGGUCCCCCACAUUGGAACGGAGACACGGUCCAAACUCCUACGGGAGGCAGCAGUGAGGAAUAGUGGUCAAUGGGCGAGAGCCUGAACCAGCCAAGUAGCGUGCAGGAUGACGGCCCUAUGGGUUGUAAACUGCUUUUAUGCGGGGAUAAAGUGAGGGACGUGUCCUUCAUUGCAGGUACCGCAGGAAUAAGGACCGGCUAAUUCCGU